GAACGUCAAGCCGCCAUGACACCGGAAGCCGCUUGCACCCGGGUCGCAGACGCCGGAAGUGGAGGAAGAGCCAGUCGUACGGGCUGGAGGAGGAAACUUCAGGAGAAGAAUUACUGACUCCUCCAGAAUACCAUUCACUACCAAUGAAGUUGAGCUACUUUGUGAAAUUGCAUUCCCUAUAGAUCAGAAGAUGGAAGAACAGAGUCCCAUGUGAAAAACUGAAGAUGUUGCUGUGUGCUGUGCAACUAUUCUCAAAGGUCACAUGGAAUCAGAAGAAUAUUGAUGGCUGAUGCAACCUCUCCAGAAGACCCAGCGCCUAGAAAUGUCACUUCUGCACCAGGUCCAAAGAGGAUUUAAGGUCUGCUGACUGUUCUUGAUGCAGAUGACCCAGGAUUGAAAUGAAGCAAGGAAGGUUGAUUGGAACAGGCUUCCAGGAGCUGGCCAGGAAGGUGAUACAAGACAGGCAGUCCAAGUGUGCUCUGGGCUUUCCUGUCUAGCAAGCAGGUCUGUCCUCUGCAGGCUCAGGAUACAGAGAGGACCUGUCCACUUUGCUGAACCUCCCAGCCUUCCCAGGGCCACUGAAGCUCCUUCUGUCCAUCUCUAAGGACAGGCUGCUCCCUUCACUGUCUCAUGGUAGCCUGGACCAACCCAAACCACUCCUAAAACCAUGAAGCAGACUGAAUACCAGGAUAUGCUUGAACAUCAGACCAAGCCAAUUGGAGUUACAUAAUAAACACAAGGCUGAAAAAGCUUUACAUACUUGGUUUUAACCAAAAAUUACAACUUUGCAUAAUAGUGAGAAUGGAAGGCAUGUUAGAGGUACAUUUCACACCUGAAUGACCACAGAAGCAAAUCCUGAAGUCAUCCAAUAGGAAAGGUCGCUUGAAGAACAGUCACUGGAGCAUGGACUCAAAGAAAAACGUUGCUAUUGCUCACAAAGCAAAAUGCCAAUGCUCUCCACCCAGCUUUGAGGAAAGCAAGACUUCCCAUCAGUCAGGAAGAGAAAAACCAAAGCCAGCAAACCAAACCAAAUCAUUUUAUUGUGCAAUUUCCUUCUACCAGAAAAAUCUCUAAAAAUAUAAAUAUGAAAUCUCUAAAAAAU